AUGUGGGCAAAACAUCAGUUUCUUAACUAAAGUCUUUUGGUGGCUAAGAAAACCCAUUUUAUUAUCACUGGUAUUCCUCACCAACAGUCAUCCUCAGUGAGGAUAUCAUUACAUUAUUUUAAGAGUCAUCGGGAAUCUGUCUUCACUUGCUCAGCUCACAACUGAGGAAGUCUUCCUCCCCUUUCUCUAGCUUUGCCAUUGGAUCUAUUUCUACCACAAGAUAAUCCUUCUGGACACACAGGACUGUUGGCUCUGCGUGAAUCACAACAGCCAGGACAUGUGGACAGGAGGCAGCCAGACUCAGAUAAAGGUCUGUGAAUCUGUGACCUCACCUCCCCUGGAAGUGUAAUUAUCAUUUCUCCUGUACACACAAUGACAGUUCAGCCGUAUGCAGCUGAGGACACUCAUGAAUAAGUUGUUUCCCAGUUGCCAAUUAUAAAGACCAAUUAAAAGUUCCUUCUGAGUAUCUUCAAAUAGA